AUAGUAUUUUUUUUUCUUUUACAUAGAAAAUUUUUUUUGUAUUAUA
rnacentral:tRNA from 1 species